rnacentral:rRNA from 1 species
UACGUAGGGGGCAAGCGUUGUCCGGAUUUAUUGGGCGUAAAGAGCUCGUAGGCGGUUUGGCAUGUCGGGUGUGAAAUUUCGAGGCUCAACCUCGAAACGCCACUCGAUACUGCCAUGACUGGAGUCCGGUAGAGGAGUGCGGAAUUCCUGGUGUAGCGGUGAAAUGCGCAGAUAUCAGGAGGAACACCAACGGCGAAGGCAGCACUCUGGGCCGGUACUGACGCUGAGGAGCGAAAGCGUGGGGAGCAAACAGG